rnacentral:rRNA from 1 species
UACGUAGGGUGCAAGCGUUAAUCGGAAUUACUGGGCGUAAAGCGUGCGCAGGCGGUUGUGCAAGACCGAUGUGAAAUCCCCGGGCUCAACCUGGGAAUGGCAUUGGUGACUGCACGGCUAGAGUGUGUCAGAGGGGGGUAGAAUUCCACGUGUAGCAGUGAAAUGCGUAGAGAUGUGGAGGAAUACCGAUGGCGAAGGCAGCCCCUGGGACUA